CACGGGGGGAGCAAGCGUUGUUCGGAAUCACUGGGCGUAAAGGGCGUGUAGGCGGUUCGGUAAGUGAGAUGUGAAAUCCUCCGGCUCACCCGGAGACCUGCAUCUCAAACUGCCGGACUAGAGUAUGGGAGAGGACAAGGGAAUUCCUGGUGUAGCGGUGAAAUGCGUAGAUAUCAGGAGGAACACCGGUGGCGAAAGCGCUUGUCUGGCCCAAUACUGACGCUGAGGCGCGAAAGCUAGGGGAGCAAACGGG
rnacentral:rRNA from 1 species